GACCCCAGGUCAGGCGGGGUUACCCGCUGAGU
rnacentral:rRNA from 2 species